AUAUUGCGCAAUGGAGGGAACUCUGACGCAGCGACGCCGCGUGAGCGAUGAAGGUUUUCGGAUCGUAAAGCUCUGUCCUUGGGGAAGAAGGCCGCCAUGUAUGGCCCCCCGACGGUACCCAAGGAGGAAUCCCCGGCUAACUACGUGCCAGCCGCCGCGGCAAUACGUAGGGGGCAAGCGUUGUCCGGAAUUAUUGGGCGUAAAGGGUGCGUAGGCGGCCUUUUAAGUCAGAUGUGAAAGACCACGGCUUAACCGUGGGGUUGCAUUUGAAACUGGAGGGCUUGAGUAUCGGAGAGGGUAGUGGAAUUCCCAGUGUAGCGGUGGAAUGCGUAGAUAUUGGGAGGAACACCAGUGGCGAAGGCGACUACCUGGACGAAAACUGACGCUGAGGCACGAAAGCUAGGGGAGCAAAC
rnacentral:rRNA from 1 species